rnacentral:lncRNA from 1 species
CUAAGUAAGAAAACAUACAUAGUACCACAGAUCAAAAGAAAGAAAUCAAAACGCCACACAAUUCUAAGUGAAAAACAUAGAUAGUCAGAGGCGGACCCAUACCUGUAAAUGGGGGUGCACGUGCACCCGUCAACUUCGGAAAAAAUUAUGUGUAUAUAUGUAAUUCUAUCUUGAGAAAUUAACAGAAACUACGAUAUAAUUAACAGUGCACUCAUGAGGAGCAUAUGAGUUCCCUUGUGCCGUUAGUACAAGCCAGAGGAAUCACAGACUAGGUUUUUUUUUGUUUUUUUUUUAAUUUUUGAUAACCGAGAAAUCCGUCUGUGACCCGCCCUUUGGACCAAUCACAGCCUUCUAAACUCGGUGGAUAAUGGGCCCGCCCCUCUACCCUUCUCCACUUAAAUACCGGGCUUCGCUUUGCAUGGUGUGGGGCUUGAACCUGUGACCUAAGCCACAAAUCCUCCACCUUUUGCCACUUGAGCUAGGCCUUGGGGGCAAUCACAGACUAGGGUUUGAAUCCAGCUAAAUCCAUUUUUCAUUGUUUUUAUUUUAAGUUUAGCUUAGAGCUUAUAUUUAAGUUAAGGUAAUAUUGGUGCUCGCGAGGCCCUUCAAAUCCUGGGUUCGCCUAACAUAGUACCUCUCUUUAAUAAUUGUUUAUGAAAUUACUGAGCUAUCAAAUCACACAACUGGAAAAUUAAGAUAAAUCUGUAACUUUUACUAUAUUUAUCCAGAAAAAGGAAAGAGAAAACAAAAUCACAAAGAGAUAGUUGAGAGAUGAACUACCAACCUG